rnacentral:rRNA from 1 species
UACGGAAGGCAGCAGUGGGGAAUAUUGCACAAUGGGCGCAAGCCUGAUGCAGCCAUGCCGCGUGUAUGAAGAAGGCCUUCGGGUUGUAAAGUACUUUUCAGCGGGGAGGAAGGCGGUGAAGUUAAUAGCUUCACCGAUUGACGUUACCCGCAGAAGAAGCACCGGCUAACUCCGUGCCAGCAGCCGCGGUAAUACGGAGGGUGCAAGCGUUAAUCGGAAUUACUGGGCGUAAAGCGCACGCAGGCGGUCUGUCAAGUCGGAUGUGAAAUCCCCGGGCUUAACCUGGGAACUGCAUUCGAAACUGGCAGGCUAGAGUCUUGUAGAGGGGGUAGAAUUCCAGGUGUAGCGGUGAAAUGCGUAGAGAUCUGGAGGAAUCCGGUGGCGAAGGCGGCCCCUGGGACAAAGCUGACGCUCAGGGUGCGAAAGCGUGGGGAGCAAACGAGGAUUAGGAU